rnacentral:rRNA from 1 species
UGGGGAAUAUUGCACAAUGGGCGCAAGCCUGAUGCAGCCAUGCCGCGUGUAUGAAGAAGGCCUUCGGGUUGUAAAGUACUUUCAGUCGGGAGGAAGGUGGUAAGGUUAAUAACCUUAUCAAUUGACGUUACCGACAGAAGAAGCACCGGCUAACUCCGUGCCAGCAGCCGCGGUAAUACGGAGGGUGCAAGCGUUAAUCGGAAUUACUGGGCGUAAAGCGCACGCAGGCGGUUGAUUGAGUCAGAUGUGAAAUCCCCGGGCUUAACCCGGGAAUUGCAUCUGAUACUGGUCAGCUAGAGUCUUGUAGAGGGGGGUAGAAUUCCAUGUGUAGCGGUGAAAUGCGUAGAGAUGUGGAGGAAUACCGGUGGCGAAGGCGGCCCCCUGGACAAAGACUGACGCUCAGGUGCGAAAGCGUGGGAGCAAACAGG